AUGAAAGAUGGAGUUUAGUUUGCAUGAACAUGUUCCUUGAGGGUGUUCUGUGUUUUAUAAGUCAUUUCAAAAUGUUUGAAACAAAAAUGCUAAAGCAUUGAAACUGGAUAUCAAUACCAGGUACAAUACUAAGACUACUUAUGCCCACCAGAUGAAGGCACUUGAAGAAAGAGAAGUAGAAACAUCAUUAGAGGUCUUGGCUCAAACCCACUUCAUCGUCCUAAGAAAGCAAAGUUAGGACAUCAGCCAAAUAUUAUAGAGUUUCAAACAUCACAAGUGACAUAUGAUAUAAAAACAAAUAUAAUAAUAAUGCUUCACUGAUAAAAAAUAUGAAAAUUAAAUAGUUGAGAUUCAUUUCAUGGGGUAUUGAAUAGUUUGAGAAAACUUUAAGGGAGAGAACAGAGAUAUUCCAGUGAUGCUUCUUCUUUCCAUGACGUUAUUUCCAAAGGAUUUUAUCAACCCACAAAAUAGUAAUCCCACGGUAACUUAUAUGGCAUCCCAAGAACAAAAUAAUCUAUGAAUGCCAAUGACAGAAUGAACUAUGCUAGACCUAAAUGAGAAAAUUAUGAAUUAACUACAUCAACUCCAAAAUUAAAAAAUAUGCAAAGAAAGUCAUUCAUAUAUUCAUUCAGUAACAAUCAUCUGCAGCCUAGUCGGACUUACGUCAAACAACUUGCGUACACAAAUUUAAAAGCUGCAAAAAUUGAACUGCAGCGGCACAAAUUGUUGAAUAUAAAUCUGAAUGGCUAUCGGUUCAAUAUGAAGUGGGAAAUCCUUUCUGUCGAUGCCCUUCAAAUUCUUAAGAUUAAGUGAAUUACAUUAGAGAAAAUAGGAUACGGGAAUUUAUGUACCUUGCUAUGCUGAUGCUAAGGAUAGAUGAGAUGCCUCGUUUGAUGACUUCCCAAGGGCUUCCAAGGGCGGAGACCAAUCAUGAUGUAGUUUGUGAGAUAUAUAUUAAGGUCACCAUACAUGUUCAGCAACGGAGUUUCAACAGGCGGCGAGCUCAUCGACUGCGCUCAGUGCUCGCGGCGUGCAGCCUGCGCUUGUUGUUGGCCUAAUAGUAAAAGACCUUACCAAAGAAGAGAAAAAACUUUAUAGAACGGAGAUGUAGCUCACACCUAAUAACUAAGGUAUGUGUCGGCCUUGCCACUCUCCUACAGACUACAUUAUACAGUGGUCAAGAAAUUCAUCUUCGAUUAGCACUCCAUGUUAACUAACCUGAUUGCCAUUGCAAAUAGUCAACCCAUCAAUAUCUCUUCAAAUAAAAUUCCAGAACCAGCCUUGAAUAGUCCCCAAACAAUAUACCAUAACCUGCAGCAAAAAGAGAAAAGAUAAAACAGAUUUAGGACGAGUAGGACUGAUUAGAUGGAAAAGGUAACGGGGAGGAAAAAAAUAUGCAGAUAGCAGCCUGGUUUAGAAGGCCAGUUGACAUGGUAUUGAGGGACGGACAUAGCUCAUAUACAUACCAGAGCAAAAUUGUACCGCACCUCCACCAUCCGUCACCAUCGCUCCCUCGACUGCCAUUAAUUGAUAUAUACAAAACAAGCGAGCACUUUACUCCUCGCUUGAAAAACGGCGGAUGAACUUCCCUGCAUCGGCCGGUGAGAUCUUCUCCGCAUCGAUUGGCGAGCCCCACACUGUAUGCACAAGUGAUCUGAGCAAUCGUGGGGCAUAAAACCAUGGACAGUAAAACAUGCAAGGAUUAGGUAUGGGGUAAUUAUCUGCUCAAAAGCCAUAUGGGAUUAUGAGUUGCUGAAGUAAAAUAUAAAAAAAAUCGAUUAACAGUCUCAAAGAUAUGCCCAUGUCAAUUGAUCACAACCAGCAUAUAUAUCACCUGUAUGCACUAUGCACAAGGGAUUGAGAGGAAAUCAGCAAAUGCAAUUAUUUGGUAGAAGAAGGAAUCGUACAUGAACUGGAAGGAAGUACAGGGGACCUAGUCGCCUAGCCGAGCAUUGUGCUGAAGGAUGUUUUGUUGCCGGAGUGGAAAGGAUGUGGGAAGAGUUGUAGGGGAGGACGUACUUGUACCGUGAGGCAGCGGAAAGGAUAGGACAUCCCCUGCCAUGAAUUUGUGCAGAGUAACCGUAUAAUGACUGCGGCCUUCAAAUAUGAGCAGAGCAGUUUCGAUCAGAUGAAGCGUCGGCUUGCAACACCCGCAUCCCUCCAUUUCCCCCUUGCUGCGAUGGAUUGCCCCCGCGUCGAAUUGGAUCGAGCGCCCCCCGCCUCGGCUAGAUCAUGCGCGUAGGCUGGAUCCUGAGUAAACUUAAAAUUGUUUUAGUCCUGCGUAUCAAUCGAUCCUGCAAACACAACAGGAACACAAUUUUGGAACAAAAAGAGAUCCCAGUCAUCUGUCUUUAUCGAGCAAUCUUCAGAUCGGAGGAACCAAAUGAACCAGGAGGAAGAAGAUAGGAGCGGAAAGAACACACAGUGGAAUUGUUUAUACCACAGAUUCGCAUGAGCAGAAGGGCCGAACCAAUAGCCACUGCUGUGAAUUGAUGAAAUGAUGGCGAAUGUUGAGCAAACCAAUAACACCACGCCGCCACCAGACAAUCAAUCCAAGAAGGCCACUCAGAUGGCUGAGGAACAGGAGCGUGAGUGCAGCCACUGCCAUCUCCAUCGCGUGGUGUCUUCUGUUGGGGAAGGCGGAGGGCGAGAGUGGGGGCGGAUGGAGAGGAGCCGCCGCCGGG
rnacentral:lncRNA from 1 species